rnacentral:tRNA from 2 species
GCCGAAGUGGUGGAAUUGGCAGACGCGCUGGUUUCAGGGACCAGUGGGGGAAACCCCGUGGGGGUUCAAAUCCCCCCUUCGGCACCA